GUGGUUGUGGCUCAAUGGCAGAGUGUUCACCUCACAUGUGUAAGACCCUGGGUUUGAUCCUCAGCACCACA
rnacentral:tRNA from 1 species